AGAAUGAACGCUGGCGGCGUGCUUUACACAUGCAAGUCGAGCGAGGCGGGUAGCAAUACCCAGUCGAGCGGCGAACGGGUGAGUAACACGUGGAUCAUCUACCUUCAGGUGGGGGAUAGCCCGGGGAAACUCGGGCUAAUACCGCAUAACAUCGUGAGAUCAAAGGGGCGCAAGUCCCGCCAGAAGAGGAGUCCGCGUUCGAUUAGCUAGUUGGUAGGGUAAUGGCCUACCAAGGCGACGAUCGAUAGCCGGCCUGAGAGGGUGAUCGGCCACACUGGACUGAGACACGGUCCAGACCUCCGUACGGGAGCAGCAGGUGGGUAAUUUGACGCGAAGUGGGACGAAGCCUGACGACGAGCGAACGCCGCGAGGGAGGAUGGAAGGUCGUU
rnacentral:rRNA from 1 species